GACGAACGCUGGCGGCGUGCUUAACACAUGCAAGUCGAACGGUAAGGCCCUGCUUUUGCUGGGUGUUAGAGUGGCGAACGGGUGUGUAACACGAGUAUAAUCUGCCCUUGACUUUGGGAUAAGUUCGGGACAAUGGGGCUAACACCGGAUAGGAGCUCAAGCCGCCUGGUGGGGGUUGGAAAGUUUCGGCGGUUGGGGAUGGACUCGCGGCUUAUCAGCUUGUUGGUGGGGUAGUGGCUUACCAAGGCUUUGACGGGUAGCCGGCCUGAGAGGGUGACCGGCCACAUUGGGACUGAGAUACGGCCCAGACUCCUACGGGAGGCAGCAGUGGGGAAUAUUGCACAAUGGGCGGAAGCCUGAUGCAGCAACGCCGCGUGCGGGAUGACGGCCUUCGGGUUGUAAACCGCUUUCACCUGUGACGAAGCGUGAGUGACGGUAAUGGGUAAAGAAGCACCGGCUAACUACGUG
rnacentral:rRNA from 1 species